rnacentral:rRNA from 1 species
UACGAGGGGGGCGAGCGUUGUUCGGAAUUAUUGGGCGUAAAGGGUGCGUAGGCGGUUUGGUAAGUCUUGUGUGAAAUCUUCGGGCUCAACUCGAAGUCUGCAUGAGAAACUGCCGGGCUUGAGUGUGGGAGAGGUGAGUGGAAUUCCCGGUGUAGCGGUGAAAUGCGUAGAUAUCGGGAAGAACACCCGUGGCGAAGGCGGCUCUCUGGGACGGUACUGGACGCUGAGACGCGAAAGCGUGGGGAGCGAACAGG